CUAAGGGUGUUUUUUUCUAUUUCUUUUGAGUCAACAGUUUUGAGUGGAAAAUGCACUAGAGCAGUAAAGGAGGAAGGAAACACCAGAGAACCUCAGUGGUGAGAACAAGAGUUCCAGUUUUUACAGGAAUUUCACGUGGCUGUGUACAUGUAUGUGCAUGUAUUUCCAAGGUUGGCGUGGAGAAAAGAGAGGGGGUAGUGCAGAGGACUUUGGCUUUCUCUGCUAAUUUUCAACACUUCCUGGAUAGAGAAAAACUUCAGGAAGGACCUAAGAAAACAUGACAGGUUAAGUGCAAGUUAGAGACCAAUUUGAAAAGCUAUAUAAGACCCCCUUGCUUUAAAACAGUGAGAAAAUAAAGGUCAGCCAGUGAUCAGGUUUGAAGGUAUUUUAUAUCCACCUCCAACAGUGAAUUUUAUGAUGGAAAUUCCACUGGAAGUUUAUCCAGAAAAAAGAAAAGCAGAUUCUAUGAGGAAAAAGAAAAUAUUUCUAAGCACUUUUACUCCUCACAUUCUCAGGUCCAGUUAUAGAAAAAUAAAUGGAGACCCACGUACCAUAUUUUAAAUAUUUUAAAGUUAUAAAUCAAGCUAAGAGGCUGUUAAAUGAAAUGUUUUCUCAUAUUACGUUGAUUACAAUAGUUUAGAAGAAAGUGAUGAGCCAUAAACACUUGCACAUGGGCAAACCAACCUGCCCAUCCAGGCUCUGUCUGUAUCCCUGCAAGGAGAAACCCUGUGGCCAUCCUUUGGGCCUAGAGGCAGGUCUUCUUUCAGGAACACAGGCCUGGGGAAGAGGCCCAUGAAGGCCCUGGAAAAGGGACUGGAACUAUUUGGACAAGGAGUUCUGUAUACCUGGAGAGAGGUCUCCAAGUGGGAGAUCCCAGGCUCUGGAUAGGCAUGUCCCUUAGCCUCCCAUACUCCUUACUCAUGAGUUUCUGUCUAUCUGUCUAUCUAUCAUCUAUCUAUCUAUCUAUCUAUCUAUCUAUUUAUCUCUCCUUAGGUUAAUUUAGUCUAAACCAUCUUUUCUGAGACUGGGCCUAGACUUACCUGGUGUAUGUAAUGCCACAUUGUACUCACUUCAUAAAUGACAGCAUGUACUGGUUGCUGAACUACAAGUUUAAAAAAGCACUUAGCUUCAUUGGAUAGUGAAUUAAUAAGGAAUUUCUGAGGCUUCUCUGAGACCUAGAUUAGUGAAUAAUGUAUAAUGCGUUCUAUUUUUUCUCCUCUCACCCUUUUCAAGUAAUACUAUUAGUCAAGAUAGAAUAGACUGUGCUUCAAAAACAAAAUGUCCAUAACUUAACAUUAGAAAAACUUAAGUAUCACUCAUACAAAUUCCACUGCAGGUGUUGCAAACUCUUCAGGACCACUAUUCUCCAUUCUGGGAUUCAACAAUCUAGGUUGUUUCCUUCUCUGCCAUCUCAGUAGGAAGCCUCCAUAUUUGCUGAGGCAAAGGAAGGGAAGGAGAAAGAGUCACACACUGGCAAUUAAAUGCUGUAGACCAGAAGGUAACAUUUGUCAUUUCUGUGGCUGCCAUAACAGAUUAUCACAAAUUUGGUGGCUUGAAGUAACAGGAAUUUAUUCUCUCACCAUGCUAGAUAUUGGAAAUCUGAAACCAAGGGAUCAGCAGGCACAUGCACUGCUGUAGGAAGAAGAAUAUUUUCUCUGAAGGCUGUAGGAAAGAAUUUUUUCUUGCCUUUCUCUAUCUUCCCGUGGCUCUUGGCAAUCCUUGGUGAUCCCUUGGCUUAUGCAUGCACCACUCCAAUCUCUACCUCCAUCUUCAUAUUAUUCUCUUCUCUGGCUCUGUGUAUCUUUUCUUCUUCUUAUAAGGACACCAGUCAUUGGACUUAGGGUUUAUCUGAGUCUUAACUGAUUAUAUCUUCAAAGACCCCAUUGCCAAAUAAUGUUGCAUUCUAAGGUUCUGGCUGGAUGUGAAUUUUAGGGGGAUACCAUUCAACUCACUAUACACACCCAGUGUCCAGAGCUAAUCACAUAGCCCUGCCUAAUGUUAAGAAGACUGGGUAAUACAGGUAAGUACAUGGGAUAUUUGGUGCUAUAAAUGGAAUGCUCGUGUUCCCCUAAAAUGUUUAUGUUGAAGCCCUAAUCCCCUACAUGGUGGUAUUCAGGAGUAAGGCUUUUGGGAGGUAAUUUGGGUUAGAUGGGGUCAUGUUGUUGCCAUGAUGGGAUUAGUGUCCUUAUAAAAGGAGAGAGAAGUUUUUUUCCCUCAUGUGAGGGCAUAGUGAGAAGGCAGCCAUCUGCAAGCUGGGAAGAGUCCUCACCAGGAACUAAAUGUGCCAGUACCUUGAUCUUGGACUUCCCAUUUCCAGA
rnacentral:lncRNA from 10 species